rnacentral:rRNA from 1 species
AUUGAACGCUGGCGGCAGGCCUAACACAUGCAAGUCGAACGAGUGGCGGACGGGUGAGUAAUGUCUGGGAAACUGCCCGAUGGAGGGGGAUAACUCCUGGAAAAGGUAGCUAAUACCGCAUACCAUCGGAUGUGCCCCGAUGGGAUUGGCUAGUAGGUGGGGUAACGGUUCACCUAGGCGCCGAUCCCUAGCUGGUCUGAGAGGAUGACCAGCCACACUGGAACUGAGACAGGGUCCAGACUCUUACGGGAGGCAGCAGUGGGGAAUAUUGCACAAUGGGCGCAAGCCUGAUGCAGCCAGGCCGCGUGUAUGAAGAAGGUCUUCGGGUUGUAAAGUACUUUCAGCGAGGAGGCGUGACUCGCAGAAGAAGCACCGGCUAACUCCGUGCCAGCAGCCGCGGUAAUUC